rnacentral:rRNA from 1 species
GAUGAACGCUAGCGAUAGGCCUAACACAUGCAAGUCGAGGGGCAUCAGGAUGUAGCAAUACAUUGCUGGCGACCGGCGCACGGGUGAGUAACACGUAUGCAAUCUACCUAUAACAGGGGCAUAACCCGGCGAAAGUCGGCCUAAUACCCCAUAACACAGGGAUGCCGCAUGGCAAUAUUUGUUAAAGAUUAAUCGGUUAUAGAUGAGCAUGCGUUCCAUUAGCCAGUUGGUAAGGUAACGGCUUACCAAAGCAACGAUGGAUAGGGGAACUGAGAGGUUUAUCCCCCACACUGGAACUGAGACACGGACCAGACUCCUACGGGAGGCAGCAGUGAGGAAUAUUGGUCAAUGGACGAGAGUCUGAACCAGCCAAAUCGCGUGAAGGAAGACUGCCCUAUGGGUUGUAAACUUCUUUUAUAGGAGAAUAAAAAAAACUACGCGUAGUUCAUUGCAAGUACCCUAUGAAUAAGGAUCGGCUAACUCCGUGCCAGCCGCCGCGGUAAUAC